AAUUGAUGGGACUUGCUUUCCUUCCUAAAGGAAGUAGAAAUGACUGACUUGCGCGGAACGUUCCAAUUUUAUAAUUGGAUGUACAAUGAGGUUUCGGCCGGAGCUUGAAGCUCAUCUUGUUAGCGGAUUGCACCGGCGGUGUGAGAGCCUUCCCAGGUUUCGAGAGCUUCUAGUUAGAUUUGGGUUUCGUUGAAGCUCGGGACUGGUUGUCGUUCACCGUCGAGCUAAAACACCUGUAAAAGAGAGGGAAGAAAAACGUGAAAGGGGAAGGGGGAUGGGGCUGUUUUUAGUGAACUUUUCACCGGGAAAAGGGAGUAAAAGGAAGGGGUUAUGGUGGUUGUUUCUUGGUCUAUCUAAUGAGGCAGAAAUCUAUAGUUCUGGUGGUGUUGGGUGGUAUAGAGGUUUUUUUGGUGGAGAAACGGUGGUUGUUGGGGUCUGUUUUGUUGGUUUUUUUAUGGAGGAAAAGGGAGGUGUGGUGGCUGUUUGGUUGGAGAGAGGAUAAGAGGCGAGGGGAGGAGAGAAAGGAUAAAAGGAAGGCAGAGAAGGGGCUGCAAGGAGAGGGAAGGGAGAAGAGAAGAGGGAGGAGGGGGACGACGGGAGAGGGGCAACGGAAAGAGAGGAGAGAGGAAAGGGGGCGGCUGUCUCGCCGGAAAAAAAUGGAGAGAUGAAGGGGAAGGAAAGGUGAGUGGAGAAAGAAGGGAGGAGGGAGGAGAGGCGGUUAGGGGAGAGAGGAGACGUCGCCGCCUUUGGCGGCCUUCACCAUAAAGUGGUGAGCAGAGAGAGGGCGGCGGAUUCCUUCGGAGAAGAGAGAGAUGCCGCUCAAAUGAGGGGUGAAGAACAGCGUUUUAGGGUUCUCUCAAAAAAAAAUUUCAUCCCGUG
rnacentral:misc_RNA from 1 species